CGCACCUUGCGCUCCUUGGUAUUCCGAGGAGCAUGCCUGUUUGAGUGUCAUGAAAUUCUCAACCUUUCUAACUUUUACAAGUGAGUCAGGCUUGGAUUGUGGGAGUUGCUGGCUUUUUCAGGUCGGCUCUCCUUAAAUGCAUUAGCAGAAUUAUUGCCGUGAUCAUCUUUGAUGUGAUAAUUAUCUACAUCAUUGAAGACUGGCUUGGAUUCAGCUUCCAACUCAUACUUGAUAUUUUUGACCUCAAAUCAGGUAGGACUACCCGCUGAACUUAA
rnacentral:misc_RNA from 1 species